rnacentral:tRNA from 1 species
AUUUAAAUAGCUUAAAUUUAAGAGUAUGAUAUUGAAGAUAUUAGGGUGAUUGUAGAAUCUUUAAAUA